CAGUAGCCGCGGGAAUACAGAGGGUGCGAGCGUUAAUCGGAUUUACUGGGCGUAAAGCGUGCGUAGGCGGCUUUUUAAGUCGGAUGUGAAAUCCCUGAGCUUAACUUAGGAAUUGCAUUCGAUACUGGGAAGCUAGAGUAUGGGAGAGGAUGGUAGAAUUCCAGGUGUAGCGGUGAAAUGCGUAGAGAUCUGGAGGAAUACCGAUGGCGAAGGCAGCCAUCUGGCCUAAUACUGACGCUGAGGUACGAAAGCAUGGGGAGCAAACAGGAUUAGAUACCCGGGUAGUCCCUGUCUCUUAUAC
rnacentral:rRNA from 1 species